rnacentral:rRNA from 1 species
GGCCAGACUCCUACGGGAGGCAGCAGUGAGGAAUAUUGGUCAAUGGGCGCGAGCCUGAACCAGCCAAGUCGCGUGAGGGAUGACGGCCCUACGGGUUGUAAACCUCUUUUGUCGGGGAGCAAAUUCCGCCACGCGUGGCGGAGUCGAGAGUACCCGAAGAAAAAGCAUCGGCUAACUCCGUGCCAGCAGCCGCGGUAAUACGGAGGAUGCGAGCGUUAUCCGGAUUUAUUGGGUUUAAAGGGUGCGUAGGCGGUCCGGAAAGACGGGGGAAAAAGCCGGGGGCUCACCCCCGGCGAGCCGUUGAAACUGUCGGACUAGAGACGGCGAGAAGUACGCGGAAUGCGCGGUGUAGCGGUGAAAUGCAUAGAUAUCGCGCAGAACUCCGAUUGCGAAGGCAGCAUGCCGGCUCCACACUGACACUGAGGCACGAAAGCGUGGGUAUCGAACAGGAUUAGAUACCCUUGUA